rnacentral:rRNA from 1 species
GACGAACGCUAGCGGCGUGCUUAACACAUGCAAGUCGAACGAGUGGCGAACGGGUGAGUAACACGUGGGUGACCUGACCUGCACUUCGGGAUAAGCCUGGGAAACUGGGUCUAAUACCGGAUAGUGUGGGCUGGGCCCGCGGCCUAUCCGCUUGUUGGUGGGGUAAUGGCUACCAAGGCGCGACGGGUAGCCGGCCUUAGAGGGUGGACGGCCACAUUGUGACUGAGACACGGCCCAGACUCCUACGGCAGGCAGCAGUGGGGAAGAUUGCACAAUGGGCGCAAGCCUGAUGCAGGCAUGCCGCGUGUAUGAAGAAGGCCUUAGGGUUGUAAAGUACUUUCAGCGGGGAGGAGUUACCAGCAGAAGAAGCACCGGCUAACUCCGUGCCAGCCGACGCGGUAAUUC